rnacentral:rRNA from 1 species
CCUACGGCGAGCAGCAGUGGGGAAUAUUGGACAAUGGGCGAAAGCCUGAUCCAGCCAUGCCGCGUGUGUGAAGAAGGCCUUCGGGUUGUAAAGCACUUUCAGUGGGGAAGAAAGCCUUGGGGCUAAUACCCUCGAGGAAGGACAUCACCCACAGAAGAAGCACCGGCUAACUCCGUGCCAGCAGCCGCGGUAAUACGGAGGGUGCGAGCGUUAAUCGGAAUUACUGGGCGUAAAGCGCGCGUAGGCGGUCUGAUAAGCCGGUUGUGAAAGCCCCGGGCUCAACCUGGGAACGGCAUCCGGAACUGUCAGGCUAGAGUGCAGGAGAGGAAGGUAGAAUUCCCGGUGUAGCGGUGAAAUGCGUAGAGAUCGGGAGGAAUACCAGUGGCGAAGGCGGCCUUCUGGACUGACACUGACGCUGAGGUGCGAAAGCGUGGGUAGCAAACAGGAUUAGAUACCCCGGUAGUC